rnacentral:rRNA from 1 species
AGCGAACGCUGGCGGUAGGCCUAACACAUGCAAGUCGAACGGCAGCACAGUAAGAGCUUGCUCUUACGGGUGGCGAGUGGCGGACGGGUGAGGAAUACAUCGGAAUCUACUUUUUCGUGGGGGUUAACGUAGGGAAACUUACGCUAAUACCGCAUACGACCUACGGGUGAAAGCAGGGGAUCUUCGGACCUUGCGCGAUUGAAUGAGCCGAUGUCGGAUUAGCUAGUUGGCGGGGUAAAGGCCCACCAAGGCGACGAUCCGUAGCUGGUCUGAGAGGAUGAUCGGCCACACUGGAACUGAGACACGGUCCAGACUCCUACGGGAGGCAGCAGUGGGGAAUAUUGGACAAUGGGCGCAAGCCUGAUCCAGCCAUACCGCGUGGGUGAAGAAGGCCUUCGGGUUGUAAAGCCCUUUUGUUGGGAAAGAAAAGCAGCAGGUUAAUACCCCGCUGUUCUGACGGUACCCAAAGAAUAAGCACCGGCUAACUUCGUG